AAAAUCAUAUUGACGCAUGAGUAAAUCGGACUGAAAUGGGAUGAAUGGAUGAGUAAGAAUGGAAAUAAACACUUACAGUGACGUUUUCCCUGUCAUCUAGGUUAAUUAUUUCUUCCGUUAAGUUCAUAGGAAUACCGAAGGAUGACAAAUGACCGUUAGAAUUUUCAGGAUUGUCAAAAUAACACUUACCACGAGUACAUAUACAUGUAUAAAUUGCUGGAAUCUUGCACAUUUUGUCAAACUGAGAUUGAAACUUAACAUAGUAAACAUGAAGAUUUUGACUUUAGUUUUGGGUUUUAUCAUGACUUUAUGUUUCUGUGAGGGACAAAUCGGACAAGUUCAAGAUCUCGGACAAAUGCGAGAUUUUAGACAAAAUCUUGGACAUAUGCAAGAUGUCGAUGUUGAUCAACUAAACUUGAGAAAUAUGAUUUUGCCCAGUGAUAUACGUGAACAGAUCGCAGUUGAUAAACCUCUAAACUUAAAAGAUGAUAGCAGAUCAAGUAGAACAGGUGGGCUAUAUUCCGCUGGCGGUGCAGUUCGACGGAGGUGGUGGCUGUGCAGAAUACGACCUUUAUUAUGUUAAUGAAGAUCAAUAGCCUGCUGUUGUGUGAAACCUAGACAGAAAUCCAGCUUCCUGUGAAUGACAUCAUAUAGAUUUCGUGUUGUGACAAUCAUGUUUAAUAAAAUUCGAUGGUUUAAUUUUGCAUAACUUGGUUGCAGACAAUGGACAUUAUGAAUGAAUAUUUAUUUUCACGGGGUUUUUUUCUUGGGGCAUUUGGAAAUUAUGGUUUAAGGCAAAUCACACAUGGGAAAAACUUAGUGAAUACCAGUAUGUUUAAUAAUACAUGUAUGUAACAAGAACGCAUCGGUCAUUUAUAUAUAUGUGCAUUUGUUUAUUAGAGUCUACCUUUAAUUUACCAUAAUUAUUCCUAUUUGUUGUUAUUUUUGUUGUUAAAACUUAUUUGUUCAUAUUUACUUUGCCAAACACAUGUUUCUUUGAACUAAAAGUAAAAAUUAUAACAUCGA